GACGGACCAGGUCGGCUUCCGCUCCGCGAGGAAAACUCCAGUGGUGUCUACGUCAGGCCACGCCCCUAGCUGUCUGAGCCAAUCAGAGGCGCGGAGCUCCAGUUUAGUUACAGCCAAGGCUCUGCAAGCCUCUGGACCCGAGAAGCGCACUGGCCUUUGCUGGACCCUCGGACGCUACAGAGGUGAUUCGAGAAUCCACCAGAGCUUGGCCUGUCCUGUUGCUAUGGGAACAGCCUGCGGCCUUCUUUCCUGAUCCCCUAGCUCCGGUUAGGAAACAGAACCACUGAAUCUACGCAGCUGAUGCUUGGGUUGUUUCCAACCUUUUUUGGGGGUGGGUGACUGUAAGCUCAUAUACCAGUGGAACAGGUGAGUCAUAGCUAUGUGAAUGUUCACCUUUACGAAUAGUGCUAGUCUUCCAAAGUGGUUAAAUCAAUGUAUGCUCUCUCUCUCUGGCAGGACUUAGAGAGUUCCAGAUGUACAUCCUUACCAACACUUAGUAUUAUCAACUACUUUAGUUUUGGAGAAUCAUCCUAUAUAAUAAGAGAGGAAUAUGCUAAUUAUCCGUUAUUCCUUGAGGCAUAAUGACCAACCGAAUAACAACCAGAUCAUGGAUCUGCAGAAGGGUGGGGCAUCGAACUACAAGCGGGUGGCAAAA